AGAUGGAAUGCCUCUUGCUUCACCUGUGACCGUACAGGGAUGCUAUACAAGACUGUGUUGGGUGUUUGCUAAAGCCAGGGAUAGACCUGUUGAUCCUGCUACUCUACUUCAUAUAACUCACUCCCACCUCUUAAAAUCUUUGACCACCACCACUGCACAGUGAAACUGUCUGGGGUGUGGGGAUUGCAACGUGAAAACUAUACGGAAAACAACUAAUGAAGGAAAUCUAACAACUUCAAGAGGAACUUGAGCGAUGGGUUGUCAAGAAGCAGCUAUGAUGACCGCAACACUGUUGUUCAUGUCUAUCAUGGAUAUAAAUGUGAAAUCUGAAUCAGCAACUGAAACCUGUGACAGAUAUGAAUCAAAAACAUGAAACCUCAUUCACCAUCAACAGUACAAUUAUCCUUGAGCUGUAGGAGAUUAAUCUUCGACUACUGCUAUACUUAUUUUCU